rnacentral:rRNA from 1 species
AGAGUUUGAUCCUGGCUCAGGAUGAACGCUGGCGGCGUGCUUAACACAUGCAAGUCGAACGGAGAUGGCAUUUUCGAAGUGAUUAGUUUACUAAGAGCGGAGAUGUUGCCAUCUUAGUGGCGGACGGGUGAGUAACGCGUGGGUAACCUGCCUCACACUGGGGGAUAACACUUAGAAAUAGGUGCUAAUACCGCAUAAGAAGGGAAGACGCAUGUCUUUACUUUAAAAACUCCGGUGGUGUGGGAUGGACCCGCGUCUGAUUAGCCAGUUGGCGGGGUAACGGCCCACCAAAGCGACGAUCAGUAGCCGGCCUGAGAGGGUGAACGGCCACAUUGGGACUGAGACACGGCCCAAACUCCUACGGGAGGCAGCAGUGGGGAAUAUUGGACAAUGGGGGGAACCCUGAUCCAGCGACGCCGCGUGAGUGAAGAAGUAUUUCGGUAUGUAAAGCUCUAUCAGCAGGGAAGAAAGAAAUGACGGUACCUGAAUAAGAAGCCCCGGCUAACUACGUGCCAGCAGCCGCGGUAAUACGUAGGGGGCAAGCGUUAUCCGGAUUUACUGGGUGUAAAGGGAGCGUANACGGCGGUGCAAGUCUGGAGUGAAAGGCAGGGGCCCAACCCCUGGACUGCUCUGGAAACUGU